GCUCGCCCCGCCCCGCCCAGUGCUCGCGCGCUCCCCGCCUCUCGGGCAGAGGACUGGGUCAGGGCCCCCCAGGUUUAGCCAACCGAAAACACCACCAGCUUAAAUGUGAAAUCCGGAGGAACAGAGAAGCGAACGAGAGCGCCCGAGGCCAGCCACAUGAACAAGCCGUUCCAGCUCUGAGAACACAGAGAACCUGAGGCAGCCAGGCAAGCAGGUUGCUAGACAGAGGCUGCACGUGACAUCAACCUGCCGAGUGUUCCUUCACCCCAAGAAUUUUGAGAGCAGCAGUGGACAUGGCACCCCAGCAGCGCACGGCUGUCACUCUGUAAACUGAAAGGGUGGCCUUUGGUGUGGGCUGUGUGAGUGGCUGUGCAGGGACGGGAAUCCAAGGACCUGGGAGGCUCCCUUGGUGACGUGGGAUGUGGGGCACAAAGGCCAAUGGCAGGAUGGUUUUCUAUGCAGGAGGGACGCAAUAAGCAGGAUGCAGAAAGAGACAGAUCGCUGGAAAAUUAAACGUGGGGUUUAACAGAGAAAUAACCACUUUCUAUGAAACAUAAUGACUUCUCCCGAGACUGGUGUCAGGAUUUAUUGGGCUGAGUGGUUACCGAAGAUCAGAGCCGGAGACCUUGGAGGGAGGGUCCUGUGGGACAGCUUCACCCGGUCACUGCAUCUGCAUGCUGGAGCCGGGCUCUGCACACGUCGGGACAUAAAAUGUGUCCAGCACCUUCGAUGGAUAUACUUUUCCUCCGCCCACCACAGCCGUUUGAUAGCCCCGGCCCCCUCCAGCACUGUCACAGGAGGCAUGGCCUGCUUUGCCAUUAGUUCCUGUGCCCAGCCUCCCUUCAAGGGCACCAUGCCAAGGCCGAAAAUGACUCUGGCAAUGUGAUAUACCUGCCAGGCUCCCAGGUCAGAACAUUCUGGGGAGACCCUGGUUCUCCUACGUGUACCCCAACACUGCGAGCUGUUGGCAAGAAGCCCGAGCAAUGAGAUUGAGUUUUGGUAUUGAAUUUGAGGCAAAUCUGCAGAGUUUCAAUGUAAGAGAUUUAUUGCCGUGCCAAACGCAUGUGUGUAAAAUACAUAAUUCCUCUCACACGGCCUCAUAAAUCCAAAAGGGUCAGCAAUAAAUAGAAAAAAAAUAAAAAAUUACAGACUAAUUUGCUCAGAAAACUAGAAGGGAAUCAAUAAGACAGCUAUAGCUCAAAAUGUGAAGUCACACACACAGGGGACAACUUUCCCCCACUGGACCCAGAGCUCUGUGCCCUGGGAAAGCUGGGAAAGAACCAGGUGACACCGUGGCUGGUGCCUCCCUCAAUGAGAUUUGUCUUUAGGCACAGGUGCCCAAGAAGGGCCCUGAGCCAAGCACUGUCCCUGAAACGUGGCAGAUUGUGGCUCCAUGAGGAGCUCUCUGGAAGGGGCCCUGCCUCUCCCCAAAAGUGUCCCAAGGGUCCUUGCCGGAGGGACAGGCCAGAGGGCACUGGCAGCUCCCUGUCCUGUGACUUGGCACCUCAGACCUCUGCCCUGCCAGCUCCUGCCAUGCCCAACACAGCCGGUGACCACCAAACCCUAAUGCUCACUCGGUGAGAAAAGUCAGACGCACAAGCUCGGUGCCUCGUGGUUUCCCUUCUAUGUGAAAUCCAAAGUAUAAAUAAAGACAAGGGAUGGACAAUAGGAACUGGGAGGUAGGUCUUUUGCACAAAGGAAGGGGACCAAGCAAGGGAAGGAGGGGGGAGAGAAGGGGAGGAGAAGGGACUGAGAUGUGUCCUGGCCGGGUGGCAACUCCCCGCAAGGAAUGUGCUUAUGGUGUACUGCAAGCACCUGCUCAUAAAAAUAAAGCCACACAGGGGCAGGAAGCUCAGGUCCCCGGCCCCCAAGUGCAGUUAGGUGCAGGUCCGAGGCUGAGGGAGGAACAGAGACCUGAGGGUCAGCGCUGGACUCCACUAUCUCCAUGGCCAGCGCUGCUUGUCAACCUGGACCCACCCAGGAAGGGACCUAAUUCAAGAAGUGGGGGGCUGCAGGCGAAUUACUCAAUAUUCUUUUUUUUGGGGGGGGGUUUGUUUUUUUUCCUGUACCCGGAAUCGAACUCACGACUUUGUGCUUGCCAGGCAGGCACUGUGCUGCUGAGCUAAAUCCUCAGCCCCGUACUCAAUAUUCUAAGGAUGCUAAAAUUCAUGUGUACAGCUCAAAGAGGUGAGCUUCGUGGUAUGGGAAUGAUGUCUGAAUAGAAAGUGUUUAGAAUAUAGUGUCACCCACGGAAACCAGACAGUACAGAAGUAGGAGAAAAUAAUCUCCUGACGACAAUCCUUUCAUAGUCUACAGUCUUUAUUCAAGUGGGUUUUUAAACAUCAAUUUGAACUGAUCCAUAAAAACACAGAAGUUGUGCAUUGAGCCAGCUCUGUGUUGCACAGAGCGCUCCAGCACAGACUUUCCAAAGCCGCUGGCUGUGUAGCACCUGUCCUCACCCUUUCCCGUCACAUCGGCUGCUGCCAGAGCUACAGGAAGGAACUCAUAGGCACAUUUGGGGUUCUAGCUGGGUUUUUAACGUUAACUUUUGGGUUUUUUCCGCUAUAUAUAUAGUUCAGGCUGGUCUUGAAUUGAGUAUGUCGCUCAAGCUGGCCUUGAACU